GAUGAAGAACGCAGCGAAAUGCGAUAAGUAAUGUGAAUUGCAGAAUUCAGUGAAUCAUCGAAUCUUUGAACGCACAUUGCGCCCGCCAGUAUUCUGGCGGGCAUGCCUGUUCGAGCGUCAUUUCAACCAUCAAGCCCCAGGCUUGUGUUGGGGACCUGCGGCUGCCGCAGGCCCUGAAAACCAGUGGCGGGCUCGCUGUCACACCGGGCGUAGUAGAUUUUAUCUCGCUCAGGGCGUGCUGCGGGUUCCGGCCGUUAAAAGCCUUUUUUACCCAAGGUUGACCUCGGAUCAGGUAGGAAGACCCGCUGAACUUAAGCAUAUCAAUAAGCGGAGGA
rnacentral:misc_RNA from 1 species